rnacentral:rRNA from 1 species
UACGUAGGGGGCUAGCGUUGUCCGGAAUCAUUGGGCGUAAAGAGCGUGUAGGCGGCCACGCAGGUCCGUUGUGAAAACUGGAGGCUCAACCUCCAGCUGUCGACGGAAACCGUAUGGCUAGAGUCCGGAAGAGGAGAGUGGAAUUCCUGGUGUAGCGGUGAAAUGCGCAGAUAUCAGGAAGAACACCAAUGGCGAAGGCAGCUCUCUGGGACGGUACUGACGCUGAGGCGCGAAAGCGUGGGGAGCAAACAGG